UACGUAGGGUGCAAGCGUUAAUCGGAAUUACUGGGCGUAAAGCGUACGCAGGCGGUUGUGCAAGACAGAUGUGAAAUCCCCGGGCUUAACCUGGGAACUGCAUUUGUGACUGCAUCGCUGGAGUGCGGCAGAGGGGGAUGGAAUUCCGCGUGUAGCAGUGAAAUGCGUAGAUAUGCGGAGGAACACCGAUGGCGAAGGCAAUCCCCUGGGCCUGCACUGACGCUCAUGCACGAAAGCGUGGGGAGCAAACAGG
rnacentral:rRNA from 1 species